AGCAGCCGCGGUAAUUCCAGCUCCAAUAGCGUAUAUUAAAGUUGUUGCAGUUAAAAAGCUCGUAGUUGAAUUUCGGGGUUAGUAGGUUGGUCAUGCCUCUGGUAUGUACUGGUCUCACUGAUUCCUCCUUCCUGAUGAACCUUAAUGCCAUUAAUUUGGUGUUUUGGGGAAUUUGGACUGUUACUUUGAAAAAAUUAGAGUGUUUAAAGCAAGCUAACGCUUGAAUACAUUAGCAUGGAAUAAUGAAAUAGGACGUUCGAUCCUAUUUUGUUGGUUUCUAGGAUUGACGUAAUGAUUAAUAGGGAUAGUUGGGGGCAUUAGUAUUCAAUUGUCAGAGGUGAAAUUCUUGGAUUUAUUGAAGACUAACUACUGCGAAAGCAUUUGCCAAGGAUGUUCUCAUUAAUCAAGAACGAAAGUUAGGGGAUCGAAGACGAUCAGAUACCGUCGUAGUCUUAACCAUAAACUAUGCCGACUAGGGAUCGGAUGAUGUUAAUUUUUUAAUGACUCAUUCGGCGCCUUA
rnacentral:rRNA from 1 species